rnacentral:rRNA from 5 species
AAACCGUUGAAAGGGAAGCGAAUGGAGUUAGCAAUUCGCCCUGCCAGAUUCAGUUGUUCGUGCUUCGCGACGUGCGCGCUCUCGAUCCGCAUGGACGAGACGUGUGCGGGUGCGUUGUGCGGACGGCGCACUUCCGGCGGGCGAGCGUCAGCGUCGGUUGUGGGCAAGCGACAAGGACACGAGUAAGGUGGACCGGCCUCGCGGCCUGUUGUUAAAGACUCGUGCUCGUAUAGCUCGACUGCGACCGUGGAAAAUGACGACGUGUGCUUGGCUGGCGACCCGAACGAUCGGUCCGGCAUGUCGACCGUGGCGGACGGCACGCCUGUGCGCUCAAACUGCUGCCGGUCGAUCGGACGGUGUUCGCACACUACGCGUCGAAGAUGCUGACGACCAUACGGCUCCAUCCGACCCGUCUUGAAACACGGACCAAGGAGUCUAACAUGUGCGCAAGUCUCCGGGUGAUCGAAACCCGUGGGCAUAAUGAAAGUAAAGAUCGUCCCAGAGACGAUUGAGGUGAGAAGCUCACGUUCUUCACAAAAAGACGUGCAGCAGCAUCAUCGACCGACCUAUUCUGCUCUCAGAGAGGUUUGAGUAAGAGCGUAUCUGUUGGGACCCGAAAGAUGGUGAACUAUGCCUGAAUAGGGUGAAGCCAGCGG